UCUCUUCAGAUGCGUUCAGGCCUGGAAAAACCAGCCUUGGAUGAAGCCUUUGAUUUCAACGAUGAACAUGCUUGGAUGUUUUGCAACGCCUGACUAUAUUGCAGGCUGGGGACAGUGGAAUUUUGAGAAAAUGCCCAGUACGAAACCCAUCAGAAGUGCCUAAAUAAACAAUCAUUGAAAUCCGUCCUUGGAAUCACAGACAACUUUGUUGUUUAUGUACAUGUUUAUUAAGAGCGAUGAUAACAAGAUUAACAUCGAUAAACGUUCGAGCUGCGUUGAAUAUUUACCGAUUGCACAACGAUGUCGUACCUACAUAUAUGUUAGUCAAGCAGCUCAGGACCAUCAUAAAAAGUUCACACCUAAAGUGAUUAAAUUAAAAUGUGCAUUUGCCUGGCAACGUUUCAAUGUCAUUGCAAAAAUCUAUCUAUGUAAUGGACGUGGGAGGUGAAUGAUGCAUGAUACCACUGAAUCCAUCACGUUCAUUCAAUGAAAUCAAGCGCCUAUUUAUUGCAAGGUUAAUAUAUUAUUGAUUCGUGCUGAUGCCUAUAUUGUAUGUCCGAUUGGCCAAGGAAUAAUGAAAGUUUCAAUAUGGAACGUAUCUAGUCGUAUUGAUAUCUGCGAAACUCUCAAUUUAUGCAAAAGCAAAGCAAGAAGACGAUUUAGGGCGGCAAUUAUCU